UUAAAACCCCAUAAAUAAACAAGGUAAAUCAGAAAAAUUUAUGUAACUUCGAAGUUAACGCUAAGAAAAUUGAUAGAAGUUGUUUUCUUAGUGUUAACGCGCAUUACCAGCGUUAACUUGGAAGGUUUAGAAAAAACCACUGUCGAAUAUUUUCUCAACAUUGACUCCUAGGAUGUCUAUAGCUGGAUAACAAACCCGUUUUCAUGUGACCCGAAAAAUAAACCUACUGGGAAGACAAAUUAAGCUUUUGAAAACCGUUUGACCAUCAGUGAACACAGCCCUUUGAAUAUAAAGUACUACGAAGGGAGCGAAGAGAGUUCUGGAUGUAAGUGUACGCAGAAAACAAUGCUGUUGGCAAGAUUGCAUUAAAAGUACUAGAUAGUGACUCUUACUUUUACACAAGGGUGCCGGGGUGAAAAAAGUUUGGGAAGGCCUGGUCUAGCAGAUGAGUGUAUGUAUGCUUGUACAUUAUUGGCCGUUUAUGCUGAACGUUGAAGCUGCAUUUAGCACAUUUAGCUCUAAAUGUACAUUUACCCAUACAAAAUUCGCGACCUAAAUGCAACUAAAUGCUAUAUAUUUUUGGCUUUAAGAAUCUAAAUGCCGCGUGCAACUCUGUAAUCUUCGAAAAAACACCACGAUUCGAAGAAGCUGUAGUGAAAAAGAGUGGCAGCAUCGCUUGUUUGCGUAUACAUAUUUGUUUACAUUCUGUUUUGCGUAUACAUACAUAUAUUGUGAUAUUUGUGCCGGAGUUUCCUUCAUUUCGGUUCAUUAAAUAUACUUUGUAAUUUUAAGUAAAGAAUUAAGAAAAAUUUAUUUAAAAAAUGAAGUGAACGAGAUGUCCAUGCACCGCAGCAGGAGGCGUUUGUGGAGUUGUGGCAGCAAAAAGUGGAUGAUUUGAGGGGGCCCAGGAAAAACGGCCAUGUUUACUAAGAGAUGGCGGCUGAAUUGCACAUGCAGGGCUAUGAUGUCAACUCCUCAUUAGUUAAAACGAAGAUUGACAAUCUGACGGCGAAAUACAGACCGGCCAAGGCAGCUAUGGGAACAAAAGGCGGCUUUCCUGCAUCAUCUAAAUUAAUAAUGUAGAGGCUCUAAUUGAAGAAAGUUUUGAACUUUCAGAGUCACCAACCCAUCUCUCACCGCUACCGACAGAGAUAUCGCCGUUAUCUCCAUCACCUUUGCCGUCUACUUCGUCCUCAGC